GAUGAACGCUGGCGGCGUGCCUAAUACAUGCAAGUCGAGCGAACGGACGAGAAGCUUGCUUCUCUGAUGUUAGCGGCGGACGGGUGAGUAACACGUGGAUAACCUACCUAUAAGACUGGGAUAACUUCGGGAAACCGGAGCUAAUACCGGAUAAUAUUUUGAACCGCAUGGUUCAAAAGUGUAAGACGGUCUUGCUGUCACUUAUAGAUGGAUCCGCGCUGCAUUAGCUAGUUGGUAAGGUAACGGCUUACCAAGGCAACGAUGCAUAGCCGACCUGAGAGGGUGAUCGGCCACACUGGAACUGAGACACGGUCCAGACUCCUACGGGAGGCAGCAGUAGGGAAUAUUCCGCAAUGGGCGAAAGCCUGACGGAGCAACGCCGCGUGAGUGAUGAAGGUCUUCGGAUCGUAAAACUCUGUUAUUAGGGAAGAAAAUAUGUGUAAGUAACUGUGCACAUCUUGACGGUACCUAAUCAGAAAGCCACGGCUAACUACGUG
rnacentral:rRNA from 1 species